rnacentral:rRNA from 1 species
AUUGAACGCUGGCGGCAGGCCUAACACAUGCAAGUCGAACGGUAACAGGAAGCAGCUUGCUGCUUCGCUGACGAGUGGCGGACGGGUGAGUAAUGUCUGGGAAACUGCCUGAUGGAGGGGGAUAACUACUGGAAACGGUAGCUAAUACCGCAUAACGUCGCAAGACCAAAGAGGGGGACCUUCGGGCCUCUUGCCAUCGGAUGUGCCCAGAUGGGAUUAGCUAGUAGGUGGGGUAACGGCUCACCUAGGCGACGAUCCCUAGCUGGUCUGAGAGGAUGACCAGCCACACUGGAACUGAGACACGGUCCAGACUCCUACGGGAGGCAGCAGUGGGGAAUAUUGCACAAUGGGCGCAAGCCUGAUGCAGCCAUGCCGCGUGUAUGAAGAAGGCCUUCGGGUUGUAAAGUACUUUCAGCGGGGAGGAAGGGAGUAAAGUUAAUACCUUUGCUCAUUGACGUUACCCGCAGAAGAAGCACCGGCUAACUCCGUGCCAGCAGCCGCCGCCGUAA